AGGCUGAGACCCCCAUGGACCCUGGGCCACAGCACAGGAGAGAUCCAAGCUUCUUCCUGCAGCUGCUGUCACUGGACCAAGACGCCCUCCUCAGGGACCCAUGCAGGAGCAAUGGACACUGUCACGGUUCCUGGCCAUGUUUGCAGAGGCCGUGUUUGCUCUGACUGACUGUGCUGUACCUGCUGCAGAGCCCAGACCUGCUUGCCCCAAACCUGCCUGAUCUGAAUGGUUGCACCUGAUUCCCAGAGCAACAGGGCUCCUCACAGUGACUCUUGGGUGCUCCCCCCACACUGGCCAGGUGCCCCCCACUUCUGCCUGCAUUGGCCGGGUGCCCCCUGCUUCUGAAAUGACUAUAAAAGCUUCCCCCUGCGACUCACACUCUGAGGCCCUCCCCGGCGGAUGACGGAUCUAUUGAUGAGUGCCACGAGGACUGCGAAGGUGGUCUAUUGGUACCAGCAUCACGAGGACUCACGUCUGUUCAGUCGGUAGAGAUGAAAUAGAAGAAGUGGAAGAUCCCCAAGAGAAAAUAAUCUACAACUUAAAAAGCUUUGAUCUACAAAUUUCCCCUGAAAGUAAAAUUUCUGGGAAUUUGAUGGAAAAGAAGCAUGACAUGCAUGUGAUAACCUCCUUCAAUCAAAUUAAAAUGCCAGAAUCUAUGAAGGAACUGCAACAACUUUCAGAAUUACUAGUGCUUUGCAGAAAACACAUCCCUGAUUUUGCUAGAAUUGCCAGAACUCUUUACAGCUUGCAGAGAAAAGGAGAACUCCGAGGGACAUAAAGACCACAUAAAACUAUGAUAAAACUGGUGAUAUUUUUAAACAUUAUUGGUGUUAUAAGAACAAAAUUAAGAAUUUUAAAUAGUAUUGAUUUAGAAUAGUCAUCCUUAUUGGCCUUGAGAACGACUCAGUAUUUAAAUGUGAAUGAUCACAAAUUGAUAAUUAAUCACAAAACUAAAUCUUUUAGCUCUUAGCUGCCUCCAGUCUCAGUAGUGGAUGCAGUUAGUGGCUGCCUCAAUUAUAAAAGAAAGCAGGGGUUUUUUUCUACUGAAAUUUGGAAAGUAAUUUGAGACAAUGCCAAUGAUUUCGAAAGAGAUUUUCAAUUCUAGUUGAACUUAGUGAAUUGUAUUUAUGACUCUUUUAUAAACACAGCCACAGCUUUUGUAUUGACCAUAUGUAAUGCUUUGGUACAUUUGAUAUUCCCUAUUAUUGUGUUAAGAUCAAAUCAUGAUGGAGCUAUUCUCUAUCCUUUCCAGUAUAGGGAAUGGGCCCAUCAAAUU